rnacentral:tRNA from 1 species
GACUCUGUAGCUCAGUUGGUUAGAGCGCUGCACAGGAAUCGCAGGGCCGCAGGUUCGAUUUCCUGCCAGUGGACG